GAUGAAGAACGUAGCGAAAUGCGAUAAGUAAUGUGAAUUGCAGAAUUCAGUGAAUCAUCGAAUCUUUGAACGCACAUUGCGCCCUCCAGUAUUCUGGCGGGCAUGCCUGUUCGAGCGUCAUUUCAACCCUCAGGCCCCGCCUGGCGUUGGGGAUCGGCGCGGCCCUCUCCGGGCUGCCGGCCCCGAAAACUAGUGGCGGUCUCGCUGUAGUCCUCCUCUGCGCAGUAGCAACGCUCGCACUGGAACUCGGCGCGGCCACGCCGUAAAACACCCCACUUCUGAAAGUUGACCUCGGAUCAGGUAGGAAUACCCGCUGAACUUAAGCAUAUCAAUAAGCGGAGGA
rnacentral:misc_RNA from 1 species